rnacentral:rRNA from 1 species
CGGACGGGUGAGUAAUGUCUGGGAAACUGCCCGAUGGAGGGGGAUAACUACUGGAAACGGUAGCUAAUACCGCAUGACGUCGCAAGACCAAAGAGGGGGACCUUAGGGCCUCUUGCCAUCGGAUGUGCCCAGAUGGGAUUAGCUAGUAGGUGGGGUAAUGGCUCACCUAGGCGACGAUCCCUAGCUGGUCUGAGAGGAUGACCAGCCACACUGGAACUGAGACACGGUCCAG